AUGCCUUGGGAGCUAAGUGGUUGCUGCACUUGACCACUAUGAAGACUGGUGUGGGAAGGGUCGCUUAGGAUGCACUUGAGCAGGGGUCCCCAACCCCUGAGCCAUGGAGCUGUAAGGAGCCACACAGCAGGAGGUGGGACCAUCCAGUUGCAGGAAAACAAGCUUAACACGCCCACUGAUUUUACAUUAUGCUCCUACCACCCGGCAGCCUCUCCAGGCCCAGAACUUUCUCCAGUCAGCCUCUACAGACCAAGCUCAUGACUCACAAUGGCCUAUUUAGGCCCAUACCCUACCUCACGGCAGUCUCCGCAGAUGAGCCUACUGCCUCACAACAGCCUCCACAGGCACAGCUCCAUCAUUACAAUGGCCUCUUUAGACCCAGCUCCUGCCUCCCAGCCUUCUCUCCAGGCCCUGAACUUUCUGAAGUCGACCUCACCAGGCCCAGCUCAUGCUUCUUUGCAGCCUCUCCAGGCCCAGCUCCUGCAUCUUGGUGGCCCCUCCAGGCCCAGCCUCUGCCUCCCGUCGGCCUCUACAGUCCCAACAUCUGCCUCAUAGCAGAUUCUUGAGGCCCAGCAUCUGCCUCACUGUGGACCCCCCAAGCCAAGCUCCCAACCUUUCAGCAGCUUCUACACACCCAGCUCCUGCCACCCAGUGGCCUCUUUAGGCCAAGCUCAUGCUUCACAAGGGCCUUUCCAGGCCCAACUUUCGUCUCAUGGCAACCUUCCCUGGCCAGAUUCCUGCGUGUCUCCCAGCAGCCUAGACAGGCCCAGGUCUUGCCUCACACUGGCCUCUCUACAUCCAGCUCAUGCCUCACGGUGACCUCUCCAGGCACAGCUCCUGUCCCAGAACGUCAUCUCCGGGCCCAAAACUUACUCAAGUCAGCCUCUCUAGUCCCAACUGCUGCCUCCUGGUGGCCUAUGAAGGCCCAAAAUCUCCUCAAGUUGACCUCUCCCGGCCCAGCUCCUGCCUCCUGUCAGCAUCUACAGGCCCAACCUCUGCCUCAUGGGGGCUUCUCCGGGCCCAGCUCUUCCUAUUGGCUGAGUCUACAGGCACAACUGCUGCCUCACAACAGCCUUUUUUGGCCCAGUUCCUGUCCAGUUCAUGGCGGCCAAUGUAGGCCCAAAACUUCCUCAGGUCAUACUCUCCAGGCCCACCUUCUGCUUCCUGGUGGCAUGAACAGGCCCAGCUUUGACUUGAGAACAGCCUCUGCAGGCCCUGCUCUUGCCUCCCAGGGGCUUUUCCAAGCCCAGCUCUUGCCUCAUGGCAGCUGCCCCAGGCCAAAUUUCUUCCUGCCUGCCAGCAGCCUCAACAGGCACAGCUCCUCCCUCACAGUGGCCCAUUUAGGCCCCACUCAUGACUGUCGGGCCAUUUCCAGGCCUAGUGCCUGCCUCCUGGCUGACUCUUUCUUGAAGCCCAAAACUUCCUCAAAUCAGCCUUUUGCCUAACUUCUGUCUACUGUCGGACUCUACAGGCCAGCCUCUGCCUCACAGUGGACCCUCCAGACCCAGAUGGUGUCUCACUGUGGCAUCCUCAGGCGAAGCUCCUGCCUUUCGGCAGCCUCUACAGGCCCAGCUCCUGCCUUGCAGUGGCCUCUUUAGGCCAAGCUCAUGCCGCAUGGCGACUUUUCCAGGCACAGCUUUUGCCUUUUGCAGCCUGUCCAGGCCCAGAAUGUCCUUAACUCGGCAUCUCCAGGACGAGCUUAUCCUCCCAGUGCGUCUACAGGCCCGUCUCCUGCCUCACAACAACCUCUUUUGGCCCAACUCCUGCUGAGCUGCUGGCAGCCUCUGUAGGCCACAGACUUCUUAAAGUAAAGCUUUCCAGCCACCUUCGGCCUCCCAGCAGCCUCAGCAAUCAAACUAUUCCCUCACUGCGGCCACCGAAAGCCAAGUUUCUCCCUGCCUCAUGGCAUCCUCCGAAAACUGAGCAUUUGCCUCACGGUGGCCUCCCCAGGCCACGAAUCUGCCUGCCUCCCAGGCAGGUGCUGCCUCACAAUGGUCUCUUUAGGCCCAGCUCAUGCUAAAAGAUGGACUCUCCAGGUACAGCUCUUGCCUCCUGGCAGCCUCUGCAGGCCCAAAUUCUCCAAAAGUUGGCCUCUCCUAACUCAGCUCCUGCCUCAUGUCGGCCUACACAGGCCCAGACUCUUACCACACAGUAGACCCUCCAGGCCCACCACUUGCCUGAUCAUAGCCUCCUAAGGCCAAGCUCCUGCCUUUCAGCAGCCUCUACAGGCCCAGCUCCUGCCUCGCAAUUGCCUUUGUAGGCCAAGAUCAUGCCGCGAAGUGGCCUUUCCUAGCCUAACUUUUGCUUUUUGACGCAUACUCCAGUCCCAAAACUUCCUCCAGUCAGCCGGUCCAGGCCAAGCUCUUCCUCCCAAAGGCUUCUGCAGGCCAAAAUCAUCCUGAAGUCACCCUCUGCAGGCCCAGCUCCUGCCUCCAAGUGCUGUGUAGGCCAAGCUAAUGCCUCACAGCACACUUUCCAGGCUGAGCGUUUCCUUUUGUGCAUCCUCUCCAAGCCCUGAACUUACUCCACUUGGCCUCUCCAGACCAAGCUCUCCCUCCCAGUGGCCUCUACAGGCCAAAAUUGUCCUCAGGUCUGCCUCUCCAGGGCCACCUCUUAGCUACCAGUGGCUUCUGCUGGCCAAAAUCGACCUCAAGUCAGCCUCUUCACACCCAGCUCUUGCCUCUGAGUGGCCUCUCCAGGAGCAAAACUUUCUCAAGUCGGCCUCUCCAGGCCCAGCCUCCUGCUUCCCGAGGGCAUGUACAGGCCCAGCCUCUGCCUCACAGCAGACUCUCCACACCCAGCUCUUCCCUGUCUGCGGCCUCUCCAGUCCAAAGCUGCUGCUGCCUUUUGGCAGCUUGUACAGGCUCAGCUCCUCCCUCACGGUGGCCUCUUUCAGCCCAACUCAUGCCUCUUGCAACCUGCCCAAGUGUCAGCUCCUGUCUCACACUGGCCUGUUGAGGGCCAGCUCAUGCCUCUCGUGGCCUCAACAGGCCCAUCCCCUGCCUGUCGGCGGCCUCUACAGGCCCGGCCUCUACCUCACAGUGGGCUCUCCAGGCCCACCUCUUCCUCACCGUGGCCUCCUGGGGCAAUGCUCCUCCCUCUCGGGAGCCUCUGCGGGCCCAGCUCCUGCCUCCCAGUGGCCUCUGUAGACCAAGCCCGUGCCUCAGGGCAGCCUUUCCAGGCCUAGCGUUUGCUGCUUUGCAUCCUCUCCAGGCCCUGGACUUCCUCCAGUCGGCCUCUCCAGGCCCAGCUCUUCCUCUCGGCGGCCUCUGCAGGGCCAGACUGUCGUCAAGUCGGCCUGUCCAGGGCCAGCUCCUGCCUCCCGGCGGCCUCUGCAGGCCCAAGUCGUUCUCAAGUCGGCUUCCCCAGGCCCAGCUCCGGCCUCUUGGCGGCCUCUCCGGGUGCAAAAGUUCCUCGAGUCAGCCUCUCCAGGCCCAGCUCCUCCUGCCUCCCAGUGGCCUCUUUCGGCCCAGCCCAGCUCAUGCCUCCCGGCGGCCUUCCCAGGCCCCGCUUUUGACUUUCGGUGGCCUCUGCAGGCCUCGACAAGGCCCGGCCUCCUGCCUCCAGAAGGCCUGCACAGGCCCAGCCUCUGCCUCACAGCGGACUCUCCACGCCCAGCUAGCUCUCGCCUCACUGCGGCCUCCCGAGUCCAAAGCUCCUGCCUCUCGGCCGCUUCGGCAGGCCCAGCUCCCGCCUGCCAGUGGCCUCUUCAGGCCCAUGGGGCUCAUUCCUCACAACAGCCUUUCCAGGCCCAGUUUUUCCCUUCCGGCGGCCUCUCCGGGCCCAGAACCUCCUCAAGUCGGCCUCUCCAGACCCACUUGCAGCCUCCCGGCAUCCUCUCCGGGCCCAGCUCUUCCUCCCGGCUGCGUCUCCAGGCCCGACUUUGGCCUCCCAACAACGUCUUUGGACUCAGCUCCUGCCCAGCUCCCAGCGGCCCUGGUAGGCCCACAGCUUCCCGAAGCCAAGCUCCCCAGGCCCAGCUCAGGCCUCACGGUGGCCUCUCCAGGCCAGCUCCUGCCCUCUGAUGGCAUCUGCAGGCCCCAAACGGCCUCCGGUUGGUGGGCUCCUCUAGGCCCAGCUUGGGCCUCCUGGCGGCCUCUGCAGGCCCAAAUCGUCCUGAAGUCGGCCUCUCCAGGCCCAGCUCCGGCCUCCCGGCGGCCUCUGCAGGCCCAAGUCAUCCUCAAGUCAGCCUGGAAUUGGGCCUGGAAGAGAGCAAGUCGGCCUCCCCGGGCCCAGCUCCGGCCUCUUGGCGGCCUCUCCGGGUGCAAAAGUUCCUCGAGUCAGCCUCUCCAGGCCCAGCUCCUCCUGCCUCCCAGUGGCUUCUUUCAGCCCAGCCCAGCUCAUGGCUCUCAGCGGCCUUCCCAGGUCCCGCUUUUGACUUUUGGCGGCCUCUUCAGGCCCAGAACUUGACCUCCAGUCGGCCUUUGCAGGCCCGGCCUCCUGCCUCUCAAAGGCCUGCACGGGCCCGGCCUCGGCCUCGGCCUCACAGCGGACUCUCCACGCCCAGCUAGCUCUCGCCUCACUGUGGCCUCCCCAGUCCAAAGCUCCUGCCUUUCGGCCACUUCAGCAGGUCCAGCUCCUGCCUGCCAGUGGCCUCUUUAGGCCCAGCUCAUUCCUCACAACGGCCUUCCCAGGCCCCGUUUUUCCCUUCCGGCAGCCUCUUGGCCUCUAAUUUGUUUAUCUUUUGUGUAUAAAUCCCAAAAUAUGGAAUUUUGGAAUAUUUCCACCAUUAUAUAUUUUGGUAGGUAAUUUAUUUGGAGUGAGUUUCUGCACCAUG
rnacentral:lncRNA from 1 species